UGUUCACGCAUAAGCCUGAUAUCUCGGUGCGAUCGUACCGUAUCGCUCACACUUAGAUUACGGUACGAUCGCGGCGGGAUAUCAGGUACGUGAUUGGA
ensembl:miRNA mir-243 miscRNA